rnacentral:lncRNA from 1 species
CUUCACCACGCGUGUUUUACUUGUUUCAUUAUGUGCGCACAAGUUGGAAAUGAACUGUACUGCUGCUGCCUCUCGAGAAGAGAGUGCUUCCAUAUCUUGUUGGUUAUAAUCCAUCCCCACUAAAAAUAAUAACAAUAAGCAUAUUGGGUUUACCAAUAGUUGCAAAAUUUAACUAAGAUAUGACAAACAAUUUUUCAAUUCACCAUUUCUCUUUUUCAUACUUCCUAGGUCAGA